AUUGAACGCUGGCGGCAGGCCUAACACAUGCAAGUCGAGCGGCAGCGGGAAGAUAGCUUGCUAUCUUUGCCGGCGAGCGGCGGACGGGUGAGUAAUGCCUAGGGAUCUGCCCAGUCGAGGGGGAUAACAGUUGGAAACGACUGCUAAUACCGCAUACGCCCUACGGGGGAAAGGAGGGGACCUUCGGGCCUUCCGCGAUUGGAUGAACCUAGGUGGGAUUAGCUAGUUGGUGAGGUAAUAGCUCACCAAGGCGACGAUCCCUAGCUGUUCUGAGAGGAUGAUCAGCCACACUGGGACUGAGACACGGCCCAGACUCCUACGGGAGUCAGCAGUGGGGAAUAUUGCACAAUGGGGGAAACCCUGAUGCAGCCAUGCCGCGUGUGUGAAGAAGGCCUUCGGGUUGUAAAGCACUUUCAGUAGGGAGGAAAGGUAGCAGCUUAAUACGCUGUUGCUGUGACGUUACCUACAGAAGAAGGACCGGCUAACUCCGU
rnacentral:rRNA from 1 species